rnacentral:rRNA from 1 species
UACGUAGGGUGCGAGCGUUGUCCGGAAUUAUUGGGCGUAAAAGAGCUCGUAGGCGGUCUGUCGCGUCUGCUGUGAAAACCCGAGGCUCAACCUCGGGCCUGCAGUGGGUACGGGCAGACUAGAGUGCGGUAGGGGAGAAUGGAAUUCCUGGUGUAGCGGUGGAAUGCGCAGAUAUCAGGAGGAACACCGAUGGCGAAGGCAGUUCUCUGGGCCGUAACUGACGCUGAGGAGCGAAAGCGUGGGGAGCGAACAGG